AUUGAACGCUGGCGGAAUGCUUUACACAUGCAAGUCGAACGGCAGCACGGGAGCUUGCUCCUGGUGGCGAGUGGCGAACGGGUGAGUAAUGCGUCGGAACGUACCGAGUAAUGGGGGAUAACGCGGCGAAAGUCGCGCUAAUACCGCAUACGCCCUGAGGGGGAAAGUGGGGGAUCGCAAGACCUCACGUUAUUCGAGCGGCCGACGUCUGAUUAGCUAGUUGGUGGGGUAAGGGCCUACCAAGGCGACGAUCAGUAGCGGGUCUGAGAGGAUGAUCCGCCACACUGGGACUGAGACACGGCCCAGACUCCUACGGGAGGCAGCAGUGGGGAAUUUUGGACAAUGGGGGCAACCCUGAUCCAGCCAUUCCGCGUGAGUGAAGAAGGCCUUCGGGUUGUAAAGCUCUUUCAGCUGGAACGAAACGGUACAUCCUAAUACGGUGUGCUAAUGACGGUACCGGCAGAAGAAGCACCGGCUAACUACGUGCCAGCAGCCGCGGUAAUACGUAGGGUGCGAGCGUUAAUCGGAAUUACUGGGCGUAAAGCGUGCGCAGGCGGAUUGUUAAGCAAGAUGUGAAAUCCCCGGGCUUAACCUGGGAAUGGCAUUUUGAACUGGCAGUCUAGAGUGUGUCAGAGGGGGGUGGAAUUCCACGUGUAGCAGUGAAAUGCGUAGAGAUGUGGAGGAACACCAAUGGCGAAGGCAGCCCCCUGGGAUAACACUGACGCUCAUGUACGAAAGCGUGGGUAGCAAACAGGAUUAGAUACCCUGGUAGUCCACGCCCUAAACGAUGUCAACUGGUUGUUGGGGGAGUGGAAUCCCUUAGUAACGAAGCUAACGCGUGAAGUUGACCGCCUGGGGAGUACGGUCGCAAGAUUAAAACUCAAAGGAAUUGACGGGGACCCGCACAAGCGGUGGAUGAUGUGGAUUAAUUCGAUGCAACGCGAAAAACC
rnacentral:rRNA from 1 species